AUUCACAAAGGUGGUUUUUGCAGAAACCAUGGUUUCAACCGUGGGUUUUACUGAUUUUGCGAUUCACAAAGGUGGUUUCAAAUGAAACCAUGGUUUCAACCGUGGGUUUUCGGCAUGAUUUUGAGUCAACUGUUUUAGGUGGUUUCAAACCGUGGGUUUUAGAAAAACCAUGGUUUUUAGGCACAUUGACCAAUCACAGAACAGUAUUUCGGUACAUUGCUGAGCAAGUGGAGAUAGACGACGAUAAAUAGAUUUGCAUGAAAAGAAAAGAAGCUAGAAGCGAAGCGUGUAAUAUCGGUAUUUGCCGAGCUGUGAGAACAUCUAAAUUUUCGAAUGGAUGAAAACAUCUUACAACAUGUGCAGGCUGUCCUGAAGAAUGAAGGAGGAUUGUUAGAGAGGAAUAUGCCAACCAGAACUGCAAUUAGGAGUCAUUGACAGGAGGAACCUUUGUGACUUGUACGAGGAUGAAGCUUUCAAGCACCACACGCUACCUUAUCAACAUGCUUGAAGAUGAUCUGAGCCUGAGGAGGGACAAAGGGCCUAGUGAUCGACUACCUUUGUAUCUGCAAAUAUCGACAAUUCUGCGUUUGUAUGCUGAUAAUUUCAGGGAAUACAUGGUGAUGAGACAUCAGCUGUUGAGUGAUCAAAGAUGUUUAGCAAGCCAUAGCAAGAAGAAAGGUUUUGUGAGAACUUCAACAACCAGAGAUGAGAUUGAGGCUACCCAACAACAACUGUAUGAGCGUUGUGGCCCAGUGGAU